rnacentral:rRNA from 1 species
GCAGUAGAAGCUGAAGGAGGAGCUUGCUCUUCUGGAUGAGUUGCGAACGGGUGAGUAACGCGUAGGUAACCUGCCUGGUAGCGGGGGAUAACUAUUGGAAACGAUAGCUAAUACCGCAUACGCCCUACGGGGGAAAGCAGGGGAUCUUCGGACCUUGCGCUAAUAGAUGAGCCUAAGUCAGAUUAGCUAGUUGGUGGGGUAAAGGCCUACCAAGGCGACGAUCUGUAGCGGGUCUGAGAGGAUGAUCCGCCACACUGGGACUGAGACACGGCCCAGACUCCUACGGGAGGCAGCAGUGGGGAAUAUUGGACAAUGGGCGAAAGCCUGAUCCAGCCAUGCCGCGUGUGUGAAGAAGGCCUUUUGGUUGUAAAGCACUUUAAGCGAGGAGGAGGCUACUUGGAUUAAUACUCUAGGAUAGUGGACGUUACUCGCAGAAUAAGCACCGGCUAACUCUGUGCCAGCAGCCGCGGUAAUACAGAGGGUGCGAGCGUUAAUCGGAUUUACUGGGCGUAAAGCGUGCGUAGGCGGCUUUUUAAGUCGGAUGUGAAAUCCCUGAGCUUAACUUAGGAACUGCAUUCGAUACUGGGAAGCUAGAGUAUGGGAGAGGAUGGUAGAAUUCCAGGUGUAGCGGUGAAAUGCGUAGAGAUCUGGAGGAAUACCGAUGGCGAAGGCAGCCAUCUGGCCUAAUACUGACGCUGAGGUACGAAAGCAUGGGGAGCAAACAGGAUUAGAUACCCUGGUAGUCCAUGCCGUAAACGAUGUCUACUAGCCGUUGGGGCCUUUGAGGCUUUAGUGGCGCAGCUAACGCGAUAAGUAGACCGCCUGGGGAGUACGGUCGCAAGACUAAAACUCAAAUGAAUUGACGGGGGCCCGCACAAGCGGUGGAGCAUGUGGUUUAAUUCGAUGCAACGCGAAGAACCUUACCUGGUCUUGACAUAGUAAGAACUUUCCAGAGAUGGAUUGGUGCCUUCGGGAACUUACAUACAGGUGCUGCAUGGCUGUCGUCAGCUCGUGUCGUGAGAUGUUGGGUUAAGUCCCGCAACGAGCGCAACCCUUUUCCUUAUUUGCCAGCGGGUUAAGCCGGGAACUUUAAGGAUACUGCCAGUGACAAACUGGAGGAAGGCGGGGACGACGUCAAGUCAUCAUGGCCCUUACGACCAGGGCUACACACGUGCUACAAUGGUCGGUACAAAGGGUUGCUACCUAGCGAUAGGAUGCUAAUCUCAAAAAGCCGAUCGUAGUCCGGAUUGGAGUCUGCAACUCGACUCCAUGAAGUCGGAAUCGCUGUAAUCGCGGAUC